UUUCCUUGUUUUAACAGGUAUACUAUUAAGGUUGAAAUUAAGUAUUUUAGAAUGUAAAUGUGGCAUUUAAAGUCAUGCAUUAAGAAAUAAACUUUAGGUUGAAAAUUGGAAUAUUUUAUAUUGUUAUAAAUUUAAAGUUUAAAAUAUUGUUUUGUACUAUACUUGAAAAUUACAAAAAAAAAUAAAAUUACAAAGACGAUAGAUUGUUUAUGAUUCUAGUUUUCUAAGUCAUCCCAGCAUUUCUAUUUUAAGAGUAGAGUUUUCUAUAUAAUGUGAAGACAAAGAAGCAGUUUAUAUUUAAACAUAGAGUUAUUCAUAAGGAGGAAACAGUUCAAGAAUUGCAACUUUGAUUGAGAUUAUCUAGUGGUAAAGAGAAUUUCUGAGAGGCAGAGUUGUGUUUAAGAAAGCAAGAAGUAAAAUCAUAGUCCUAAACAUAAUUUUAUACCAAAAUCCAAAUAUAAAUCACUGUUAUCAGAUUCCUACAUUUGAAUAUCAAGCAAUGUUCAAACAAGAGUUAAUCCACGAUCUUAAACCAUUAAUCUGAUAGCAGUUAUUACCAAUAUGUGUUCUAUUUUUCAGCUUCUACUUUAAAAAUAAAAAUCAAAUAUAAUUGAAAUUCCCCACAAGAAUUUUAAGUUGAACAGGAUACCACAAGAUACAAAAAGAUAAUGACAGUUUCCCAGUAAAUUAUUUCAGAGGAAUCCAUGAAUCGCUAAAUAGAGAAGCAGCUUUCUUAAAUAUUCCUUCAACAGACUAUUAUUUAGUUGAAUAAAAGUCUCUUUGUUGCCAUUAACAGUUUUCUGAAUUGAAAGAUACGCUAUUGACCUAAAUUACUUCCUCCCACCAAAAAGACAGAGGUCUUAUUUGUCCCUUGUUUAUUUAACACAGACAUGAAAAUAAAAAAAGGCAAUCCUGUCUUAACAAUUAAGGCAAGUCUAUACUCAGUGAAACAACCAGAAUAUGGCCCAUUUAAUGAUUCAUUCAGAUUGCAAAAUGACUGCAUUUGGCUAAAGCACAUACCCCAGAUAGAUUAGAUGGGCCAAGGAAAAGCCAAAAGAAACAGGUUUGGUCAUGUUUGAAUUCAACUGUUUCACCCUAUCUAGGCAAUGCCUGGAAAAGACCUGAGAAAGAAAAUAUCUGAUAAUGGCAAAGGCAAAACUAUAAUACUGUAUACACACAUAAAAAUAGACAUACUAUAAUUCUCAACUGCUUAUUAUGUGGGUCAAUCAAAAAAUGCAUAAUGUGUUUGCAUAUCACUAUUUUAAAUUAUUUCCUAUUGGUAUUUUUUAAUAAAUGAUAUCUUUCACUGUGUCUUCAUAAAAAUGUAAAUUCACAUUUUUUAAAUCUCAAUUUCAAAGACUGUGAUUUAAGUUAGAAAUAAACUACUUUCUCAAUAUUCUCAUACGGACACUGACAUUUGGCAAACUGAUAUUAAGAUUUCAGUGACUAAUUUUUCCCCAUACAUAUCUACAUAGACUGUUAAAAUUUAACAUGCAAAAGUCUGUUAUCACUGAUGUAUUGUUGCCUCUUUCAGGAUCAUGAAUUGGUAUGAUAAUGCUGCAGUAUUAACAAAGCUUGGUUUUCCAAUUCUGAAAACAUAUGUUGAACUUUUGAAAAACACAGACUCAUUCAGAUUACUGGUAGCCAAAUUAUCUAAACGUUAUCAACUAACCUACAUCAGGUCCAUAAUCACACUUGCUGCAAUGAGCAAACCAGUCCAGCUUAAGCAGAGGAGAGGCUCUUUGCCACUCCCUUAUUUAAAGCCAUUCAUCACUGUCAGUUACCCAAGCUACUUUUUCCUUUGGCAUUCACACAACUUAACAUUUUCUAUUACGGGACCUGAAGAGGACAAAAACUAAGCAAUAGUUUUCAUCAUUAUCUUUUAAUUUCCUUUAUCUUAUUCCAGGCUAAUUUUGUCGUGGUCAAUCACACAAUUAAAGACCCGCCUUCGUUUUAGAAGCAGGUUUUGAGCACAAACCUGUGUAUUAGUUUCACCUUGCUUUACUGUCCUUACCAAGGAAACCCAGAAAAAUAGACAUCUCUUAUUAAGCGCAUAUUUUGUUUGCUUUUCAAUUCCAUAAAAAAUGACUAAUGCAGGUGUUAAAGGGGGUAAUGAACAUUUUAUGUUUAAAUUUAACUGAAAUUCUCACUGGUUUAACAUAUGACUAUAAAACAUUUUUCCACCAGGGACUCUAGCCCUUAACUUUGCUUUUACUUCAAAUUGAAAAGACUAUUAUAAAGCUAUAGACUAUUUAGACUAUUUAUAAAGCAUUUUCCUAAAGAAGUGGUUACAAUCAUAUCUACCUUAAAUGUGGAAACAUUUUUUUUUUUUGUCUUUUUUUUGCUAUUUCUUGGGCCGCUCCUGCGGCAUAUGGAGCGGCUCAAGAAAUGGCAAAAAGACAAAAAAAAAAAAAAAAAAAAAAAAAAAAAAAAAGAGAGAGAGUUUUCAUGUCUUUUGAGAAACAUUCAAUUUCCAUCUUUCAAAUAUAGUAAUUUAAGAGAGCUCAUCCAACAUCUACUCAAAUUUUACUAUUUUAAUUUAAAAAAAAAUGAGUAUUUAAAAGCGGGCAUUUCUUUGAUCAGUUGAAAAGGAAACAAUAUGAGAAUAAGUUAAAACAAGUUAGACAUAGAGUCAAAAUCCAAAGGUUAAAGCCUAAGAGCUUCAUAUAAUCUUCAUUACACUCAGUCCCACUUACACAAACAAAAACAGCAAAGGAGCCAGAGACACUAAUCAAAUCUUGUCAUUAAAAACACCACAUAAUUAUUCAUAUAUUGUUAUCUGUACUUUGCACUCAGAUUUAGCUAUAGAUUUACUAGUAGUAUUUGCCUUUAGGUAUUUGAAAAAGAACACAGAAUGUACACCCUGCAUUUCCUAAAGCAUUUUACUGUGAACAAUUAACUUGAGUGCAAAAAUGAGAGGAGAUUCAUCAGAAUUUCAAAGUAAAACCCUAUGCCUCACCUAAUUCUAUUGAAAACGGCGCUCAUGGCAAAUUUCACUUAUCACUUGAAACAUAUUUCUGCCCUUGGAUACCAGAAGCAA
rnacentral:lncRNA from 1 species